GUUAGAACAGUCAAAAGAAUAGUGUUAGCAGCGAUUAAUAGCGAGUCCGGGAUUGGUGGAAGCCGGAUAAUCAAGCUAAUGUGGCGCACUUUUGGUUGAACAAUUGCAUACUAUUGAGUGGAUCGAUUGAUCAAUCAGAGUGGUACCGCGGGAAUUCUCGUCUCUUUC
rnacentral:misc_RNA from 2 species